AACUUUCAACAACGGAUCUCUUGGUUCCGGCAUCGAUGAAGAACGCAGCGAAAUGCGAUAACUAAUGUGAAUUGCAGAAUUCAGUGAAUCAUCGAGUCUUUGAACGCACAUUGCGCCCCCUGGUAUUCCGGGGGGCAUGCCUGUCCGAGCGUCAUU
rnacentral:rRNA from 29 species